AGCGAACGCUAGCGGCGGGCCUAACACAUGCAAGUCGAGCGGGGGAGCAAUCCCCAGCGGCGGACGGGUGAGUAACACGUAGGUUAUGUGCCCUUUGGUGGGGAAUAACCGUGGGAAACCAUGGCUAAUUCCGCAUAUCGAGCGAAAUCUUGAAAGCCUUCGGGCGCCAAAAGGAGCAACCUGCGGCCCAUUAGCUUGUUGGUAGGGUAACGGCCUACCAAGGCGAUGAUGGGUAGCUGGUCUGAGAGGAUGAUCAGCCACACUGGAACUGAGACGCGGUCCAGACUCCUACGGGAGGCAGCAGUGGGGAAUAUUGCGCAAUGGGCGAAAGCCUGACGCAGCCACGCCGCGUGAGUGAUGAAGGCCUUCGGGUCGUAAAACUCUGUCGGGAGGGACGAAGGGGCGAACCCCUGACGGUACCUCGCAAGAAAGCACCGGCUAACUCUGUGCCAGCAGCCGCGGUACUGAGUCGGAG
rnacentral:rRNA from 1 species